rnacentral:rRNA from 1 species
UACGAAGGGGGCUAGCGUUGUUCGGAAUUACUGGGCGUAAAGCGCGCGCAGGCGGUCGUUCAAGUCGCGUGUGAAAGCCCCCGGCUCAACUGGGGAGGGUCACGCGAUACUGAUCGACUCGAAGGCAGGAGAGGGUAGUGGAAUUCCGGGUGUAGUGGUGAAAUGCGUAGAGAUCCGGAGGAACCCCAGAGGCGAAGGCGGCGUCCUGGCUCACAACUGACGCUCAUACACGACAGCAUGGGGAGCGAACGGG